UACGUAGGGUGCGAGCGUUUAAUCGGAAUUACUGGGCGUAAAGCGUGCGCAGGCUGUUUUGUAAGUCAGAUGUGAAAUCCCCCGAGCUCAACUUGGGAACUGCGUUUGAAACUACAAGACUAGAAUAUGUCAGAGGGGGGGUAGAAUUCCACGUGUAGCAGUGAAAUGCGUAGAGAUGUGGAGGAAUACCAAUGGCGAAGGC
rnacentral:rRNA from 1 species